rnacentral:rRNA from 1 species
UACGUAGGGUGCGAGCGUUAUCCGGAUUCACUGGGUUUAAAGGGUGCGUAGGAGGGCAGGUAAGUCAGUGGUGAAAUCUCCAAGCUUAACUUGGAAACUGCCGUUGAUACUAUCUGUCUUGAAUACCGUGGAGGUGAGCGGAAUAUGUCAUGUAGCGGUGAAAUGCUUAGAUAUGACAUAGAACACCAAUUGCGAAGGCAGCUCGCUACACGAAUAUUGACUCUGAGGCACGAAAGCGUGGGGAUCAAACAGG